AAGAAAAGCAAAGCUGAAUGGGCUUCUAAGUACCAGGAGCGAUAUUUCAUUUUCUGAAAGCUGAAGGCUAAUUAGAAGAAUAACAAAAUAAGGAAGGACUUUCUUACAUCAUAUUUGUGCUUUUCCUGACCCAGACUGAGGAGAGGAAGAAGAGGAACAGCGUGCCGUGGUGGGGCGGUCACGGAGGACAGGGACGGGCAGGCCAUUUCAGGCUGUGCAGUAUGCAAGCAUCCACCAAACUGCCCCUCGGGAUGGCCCAUUCAGCUACGACCCCGCAUCCUUCCCACAGCAGAAGAUACCAUGGGCCG
rnacentral:lncRNA from 1 species